AUCCAGUCGACGAGUUCCAAAUAGGAUGAAACGCCCGUCCUGGAU
rfam:Schistosoma margrebowiei strain Zambia genome assembly, scaffold: SMRZ_scaffold0000502